rnacentral:snRNA from 1 species
CACUACGAGAAAUUAAAGAUA